GCACUCCAGCCUGGGCAACAGAAUGAGACUACAUCUAAAAACAAAAAAAAGAAAAGAAAGAAAAAGAAAAUUAUGACUCAGGGAAAAAUUCAGUCAUUUCCUAACUGUAGAGUUAGUUCAGACUAUUUUCUAAUCAUAGUGCACCCAACUGAGAAACAGUACCCUUGCUUCUGUUUGUAUGUAUGUAUUGUUAUUGGAUCCUGGCUGCCACUUUGAUGCACUGGCACGGCCUUCCUGGUACUACUGGGGGUCCCAUGGCACCAGCUGAGAGAAGGCAGUGCACACGUGUAGCCCCCCCCCCCCCCCGUCCUGGGGUGAGGAAGGCAGUGCACAUUCCUGGGGUGAAGAAGGUAGUACACACGUGCGGGACCCCCCUGGGGUGAAGAAGGUAGUACACACGUGCGGGACCCCCCUGGGGUGAAGAAGGUGGGGCAUUCAUAUUCUGUCACUCCCGCACCAUCUGGGGGGCCUGGGCCACCUUAUUCACUGCAACACCUCGGUUGGUCCUGAAAAGUUAAUGCUUUACUUUCCAGAAGUGGGGACUUGAGCAAGAGGCUGGGCACUGAGCCAGGAUGGCAGGGCUGGGAAAUGACAGCCUGGGGCAUUUCGAGGCAGGGGCCACCCAAGCCUGCCAGCCUCAGCCCAACCUUCCCACCAGACAGGGGUCCAUUUAAGGCACAUCUGCCCUGACUUGUUGACAACUUUACUUGGGCCUCACUCCGACAAUAUUCUGGGUUCUUUUGUUGCAAUCUCUACAGAGCUUUUUCUCUAAGUCCUUGCCGGGCCCCAAGCCUUGCAUCACUUGAUGGUUGUCAUAGUCGCCAAGUGUAGGCGCGGACAGACCUUGGAGGCCGUGGUAUCUUGCCAGUUGUGAUGAGUUCUGUGGACUCGGAGAGGGAGCUGUGCAAAGAGUAACCGAAAUUACUCCAGAAGUGCAGAGAGGAACCGGCUGAAAAUGCAGCGAUUGAAGCUUAUGGAAACUGAAGUGUCAUCGGAGGUAAAGUCUAAGUAGUAGACUAAA